rnacentral:lncRNA from 1 species
UUUAGGAAGCUAUCAUUCUUUAGAGGGCAAUGACCAAACAGUACCAGCAGAAAUUGAAGUACCAGCAGAAGGCUAAGAAGGGAUCAUGGCACAAGCUGCAGUUUCCACCCUGCCCAUUGAAGAUGAGGAGUCCAUGGAAGAUGAGGAGUCCGUUGAAGAUGAGUCUGUUGAAGAUGAGUCCGCAGAGAGCAGGAUGGUGGUGACAUUGCUCAUAUCAGCUCUUGAGUCCAUGGAUCAUGGCACAAGUUGCAGUUUCCACUCUGCCCAUUGAAGAUGAGGAGUCUGCUGAAGAUGAGGAGACAUUGGAGAGCAGGAUGGUGGUGACAUUCCUAAUGUCAGCUCUUGAGUCCACGGUCAGACCUUCUGUUCUCACAUUCUGUAGUUUGGUAGGACUGGGCAAUAGAUAAGGUUGAUUUAUUUUUGUAGAACUUACAAUUUUAUGAUUUUCAGUUCUAAUGAGUAGACCUUUUUCGUGAAUAGUAGUUAUGGUUAAACACCUCUAACCAAAUGUGCAUGUGGAGUUUCUACACUGAUUUUCAGACAAUCUGGAUCCCAACUGGGUAUCCCACAAUUCCAUCCUGACACUCCCUGGAGUUAGUGCAGACCCCGCAGGAUGGGGGCUCAGUCCCAGGAGUCUACCCUCACUCCACAUGCCAAUUGCAAGUCUUGGGUUGUUGCAUGUAGUUUUGACCGACCAGUUAGAAAACAGGGUUUCAUGACCCCGUUGCUGGGUGGAAUCAUUUGCUCGGACAGCUUGCAGAACUCAGAAAAACAGAUUGUUUUCUUUUUUUUC